AUGCCCCUGGAUGUCCCGCAGCGCAGGCCUGAGCUCUUCUCUUUGGGACAGGACGUCUCGGUCGUCCUGCUGCCGAGCACCCCGCGGCCACGUCCUCCUUCGCGCCAGGUCCCCAGCCGUGGGCCUCCCCGUGUCUGUCUCCCCCUCGCUGGCCCUGCCCCCGGAACGGUUCGCCCGCCCGCCCGGAAGGGCUUUCUUUUCCCUUGCGUUGUGAGCGCAGCUGGACCACUCCCUCUUGCAGGAGCUCCGGGACGCUGGUCAUCCUGGUCUGUGAUCCCGGAACCGUCUCAUGAAGAUGACCCGAUAAGCCUGCCAUCCCAGCACUCGGGAUGCAGAGGCAGGGGGGUCGGAAGUUCGAGCGCAGCAUGGACCACUUAACAACUUAGUGAGACCCUGUGUCAAAAUAAAAAAUAAGAAAGGGCUGGGGAUGGAGCUCAGUGCGAAGGCCCUGGGUUCACUCCCCAGUACCACAAAACGAAAACAAAAAUAGUCGGACUUGUGCUUGUAGUAAAGAACACAGCCUGACUCUUGAGGGGUUGGUUUUUGAAGGCCCAGGAAGAGGGAUGCAGACUUUGGCCUGUUCUUGGGUCCAAAAUGUUCCCCACGCGUGGUUUUUCCAGAGUCCUCCAGGGCAGACACGCUGUCCCGGCACUGCGGUCACCCACAGCUGAGCCAGGACAAAGCGCUCCCUGGCACCCCGGCCAGCCUCACUGUGGCUUUCGGCUUCCAGGACAGAGCUCUGAGGCCACCAGGAGGCCUUGCAGUUUGCUCUCCUUUGUCCAGGACUUUUUACGAUCGAGUUACAAAUGGCUCCCUUACUGGUAUUCUACAAAAUUGUCUCUUAAAAUAUGGAGAAGCCAGGUAUAGUCCUGUCAUGCCAGGACUGGGGAGGCUGAGGCAGGAGGAUCACUGAGUUCAAGGCCACCCUGGACUACAUAGCGAGACCCUGUCUCAAAAAAAUCGAAACAAGCAAAAUACAAUAAAAGAAGGGGGAAGAGAAGGCCUGUGUCAGGGAGAGAGGAUCUGUUUAGAGCUGGUAGAUGCGUGAAGGGAUUGUUUUGUUCCCAACAGGAAGCCACCUGCAUGCCACAACUCCAGGGACCAUCCUUGAUCUGAUGUCAGAGCGAGGGUGAUUUUUAAAAAGGGUGGGACCCAAGUAGGGCCUUGGUUUUUGCUCUAUUUUGUUAUUACUAUUUGCCUCUUUUUAAAAAACUUCUUUGAUGUAGGGGAUGGAACCAGGGCCCCUGCUCACUAGGCGGCGCUCUUCUGCUGAGCCAACCCCAGCCUCUGUCCCCGGCUUUUAAGUCACCCCGACCCCAUGCGCGCCUGAAGUGUGAUUUCCCCAGAUACUUUUGCACUGAGGCAGGAGGCUCUCGGAGCUCGAGGCCAGGCUGGCUACGUGGCCAGAUGCUGUCUCAGAAAAAAGGAACCCAGUGUCCCAGCUUUGCUGCCCCAGGAGCCGUCAGGCUGCCCAACUUGGGAUUCACACGCAUCCACAGAACGUGCAAGGCGAUUGUGUGUUCACCCCCCGCCCCCGCCCAGCGCAUGGCUGCAGUUACAGCGCACGGCCGGCCAAGGGCCCCUCGCAGUGGAAGAGUUAACUAAGUUGUAGUGUAGAACUUCUCCAGUCACUGCCUCCCCCAAGGAGGCUGGGUCCCCGGGGCGGCGGCGUCGGCACAACAGGGGAGAAAACAGUUUUUGUUUCUGAAUGUGCGUCUGUCACGAGGCUGUGGGCAAACCACGGGUUUCCAGUGUGGAGAGCACUCGUGCUGACCUGACCGCGCGGCGCUGUGCCCGGGAGGUGACUCGGGUGUCCCCUCCCGAGAAACGCCUCAGUGGAGGGAAGGGUACCACCCGUAGUGUUCCUGCAGUCUGGCCCAGGGGCACCCAACUGUCAUCCCAACACUAGGCAGGCUGAGGCAGGAGGAUCGAAAGUUCAAGCCUAGCAUGGGCAGUUUAGUGACUUAGCGAGACCCUGCCUCGACAUUUAAAAUAUCUGGAGGUGGGGUGUGUGGUGGUACACGGCUGUUAUCUCAGCACUCGGGAGGCUGAGGCAGGCACAGUAGUGAAUUCAAGGCCAGCCUGGACUAUAUAUCGAGAGCCUGUCUCAAAAAUCAAACAACUACAACAACAAAAAUCUGAGGAUGCAGCUCAGUGCAAAGGCCCUGGGUUCAAUCUCAGCAUUGGAAAGAGAAGAAAUCCCCGAUGCCCAAUAAAGUCACAGCAGUGCAGGCUGAGACGCAGGUACUGGUGUUUUCAAAUCAUCCCAGAAACGGGUUCCGAAUGCAGUCAGUUUGAGAACCCCUGCACCAGGGGGCCACUGGGAAAGGGGGCGCACGGAGCCAGAGGCCACACAGAGGGCUCAGGACUCGGGAUGAGCUCUGGGUGUGGAUGGUCCUCCCGGGACUCUGCUGCUCGGGACAUAGGGGUAGCAGGCUGGGGGAGAAGUGUUUUUAGGAUGGUGGAGAAUUUGAUACACUUGCAGGAGGAGGCUAGGAAUGAGGGGCGGGAAAGGGGAGGGAAAGGGUCGUCCUGGGGGGGUGGGUUUUUACUUUUGGAGACAGGGUCUCCCCAUGUAGCCCCAGGCUGGCCUCGAACUCAGAGAUCCUCCUGCCUCAGCCUCCCGAGUGCUGGGAUCACCGGUGUGCUUCACACACCUGCCCGGGAGGAAGCCUGACUUUGAGCCCGAGAAGGACGAGCCCCUGAGAUGGAAGGAGAGCUCAGCGAGGGUUGGCUCACUCCAGGCUGGGGCGUCCUACACAGCCCCAUCCUCCUCAGGGGUGGGAGGCUGGGACAGGCCGCAGCCCCUGGCACCGCUCAGAGGCAGGGAGGGCCCUGAGUCCACUUACUCAGAUUUCCCGUCCCUCUGCGGCCCGGAAACCCAGAGUGACGUGGCAGGUGGUGGC
rnacentral:lncRNA from 1 species